UUCUGGCUCAGAACGAACGCUGGUGGCGUGUCUUAUACAUGCAAGUCGAGCGAGGCAGCAAUGCCGAGCGGCGAACGGGUGAGUAACGCGUAAGCAAUCUGCCCCAUAUCAGGAAAUACCCGUGCCAACGCGCGGUUAAUGUCCAGGAGAGUGGCCCUCUGCAUGGAGGGUUGACUAGAGAUUUAUCGGUAUGGGAUGAGCUUGCGUCCGAUUAGCUAGUUGGCGGGGCAACGGCCCACCAAGGCGACGAUCGGUAGCCGGCCUGAGAGGGUGAUCGGCCACAUUGGGACUGAGAUACGGCCCAGACUCCUACGGGAGGCAGCAGUAGGGAAUAUUGCACAAUGGGGGAAACCCUGAUGCAGCAACGCCACGUGUGGGGAAGAAGCAUUUCGGUGUGUAAACCACUGUCAUGAGGGAAUAAGGCCCUUAUCCGUAAGGGAUUGAAUGUACCUUGAGAGGAAGCACCGGCAAACUUCGUGCCAGCCGCUGC
rnacentral:rRNA from 1 species